rnacentral:snRNA from 1 species
GUUCGCUUCGGCAGAACGUAUACUAAAAUUGAAACAAUACAGAGAUUAGCAUGGCCCCUGCGCAAGGAUGACACGCAAAUUCAUGAAGCGUUCCAUAUUUUA